UACGUAGGGGGCGAGCGUUGUCCGGAUUUAUUGGGCGUAAAGGGCUCGUAGGCGGUUCGUCACGUCGGGAGUGAAAACUCGGGGCUUAACCCCCGAGCCUGCUUCCGAUACGGGCAGACUAGAGGUAGGCAGGGGAGAGCGGAACUCCUGGUGUAGCGGUGGAAUGCGCAGAUAUCAGGAAGAACACCGGUGGCGAAGGCGGCUCUCUGGGCCUUACCUGACGCUGAGGAGCGAAAGCGUGGGUAGCGAACAGG
rnacentral:rRNA from 1 species